ensembl:misc_RNA RN7SL460P RNA, 7SL, cytoplasmic 460, pseudogene
GCUAGGCGUGGUGGCGCGCGCCUGUAAUCCCAGCUUCUUGGGAGGCUGAGGCAGGAUAAUGGCGUGAACCCGGGAGUCAGAGCUUGCAGUGAGCUGAGAUCACGCCACUGCACUCCAGCCUGGGCGACAGAGCGAGACUCUGUCUCAAAAAAAAAAAAGAGAGACAGGGUGUCACUUUGUCACCCAGAUUGGAGUGCAGUGACGUGAUCAUAGCUCACUGCAGCCUCAAAAUCCUGGGCUUAAGUGAUCCUCCCAUCU